CAGAGUUUGAUCCUGGCUCAGAUUGAACGCUGGCGGCAUGUCUUACACAUGCAAGUCGAACGGUAACGCGGGGCAACCUGGCGACGAGUGGCGAACGGGUGAGUAAUGCAUCGGAACGUGCCCAGUAGUGGGGGAUAGCCCGGCGAAAGCCGGAUUAAUACCGCAUACGACCUACGGGUGAAAGCGGGGGACCGCAAGGCCUCGCGCUAUUGGAGCGGCCGAUGUCAGAUUAGGUAGUUGGUAGGGUAAAGGCCUACCAAGCCUACGAUCUGUAGCUGGUCUGAGAGGACGACCAGCCACACUGGGACUGAGACACGGCCCAGACUCCUACGGGAGGCAGCAGUGGGGAAUUUUGGACAAUGGGCGCAAGCCUGAUCCAGCCAUGCCGCGUGCGGGAAGAAGGCCUUCGGGUUGUAAACCGCUUUUGUCGGGGAAGAAAUCUUCUGGGUUAAUACCCCAGGAGGAUGACGGUACCCGAAGAAUAAGCACCGGCUAACUACGUGCCAGCAGCCCCGGUCA
rnacentral:rRNA from 1 species